GCACUCUUAGUGUAGCGGUUAUCAUUUAGCACUUCCAAUGCUGAGACUCGGGUUCGACUCCCGAAGAGUGCA